GUGCUGCCCUCCACAGCAAGCAAGGGGCUGCCCUGCCCAGACCACAGCAAGAGGAGGAAGAGCUCUGCAUUACUAAGUUAAGUACCUCACUAUGACAUUCUGAGGGUUUGGCCUCAUUUUUGCCUUCUAUUUAAAACUUUUUACUUUCUAAUGAACCUUAAUCUUUUUCUCAGCCUGCCUCCUCCUCCUCCUCCUUCAACUUCCUUUACCUCCUUGUGUGAAUCUGUCCGUCCCGAGAUCCGGCGAGACCAUCCCGACGUCGUAACACCCGUUUGGGAGUGGGGGGACUCAUGAAGCUGGGGGCGGCAGCCCUAAGGUGGGGAGGGUUGCGCCGACACCUCCACUCCGUUUCGGCGGAAUGUGGCUGGCUAGGGUGGCCUGAACCACUGUCUGGGUUGUUUGUCGUUCAGUCGGAUUGAGGAUCUGCCUCCCUUGAGGUGCACAUGUCAUAGUGGUGGCAGAAGCGAGUGUGAGUGAAGCUGAUGUCAUCCCGACGUCGUAACACCGUUGGGCGGGGCGGGGCUCUCAUGUCAAGUCUCCCCGCGGUGCACAUGUCACAGAGGUGCAAAGAGCAUGGCCUUCUUUCCUAUCUUUUCCCCCUCCUCCUCCUCCACCCCCUCCCCCACACACACCUGCUGUUAUAUCGUCACCCUCAUAAAGUAAUUGCCUAAGUCAUUUUUCAGUGAUUUCCAUUUUUGUUAAGUUGUCUUAGAUAUUCAGGGUUUGAGUGUUCUAGAAUUGCCUUUUUAUUUCUGCCUAAAUCUUAAGCCAAAUGAGAUGAUGACGUUCUCUUCUUGAAAAAUAGAAAAUAACGACUUGGGCGGUUUCUUUACGAAGGUGGCGAGAUUGUAAUAGGUUUUGCACCCUCUAUUUAGGGAUGUGCACUAAUUUUUGUCUCUUCUCUUCCCCUCCUCCUCCCCUGGCUGGCCGGGGAACGGAGGAGGAGCACUAGGACGAGGAGGUGAAGGGAGGCGGAGGGAGAGACGACUCGAGCACAGGGAGGCAAGAGACAAGAAGCAGAGACGCAGGAACAGAAAGCUGCUGUGGGAGUGCUGCCCUCCACAGCAAGCAAGGGGCUGCCCUGCCCAGACCACAGCAAGAGGAGGAAGAGCUCUGCAUUA